rnacentral:rRNA from 1 species
AGCGAACGCUGGCGGCGUGCUUAACACAUGCAAGUCGAGUGCGCGCCUGUAGCAAUACAGGUGGCGCACGGCGCACGGGUGCGUAACACGUGGGUAAUCUGCCCUUCGAUGGGGAAUAACUCGCCGAAAGGCGAGCUAAUUCCGCAUAACAUUCCGAGAACCUUGGUUUUUGGAUUCAAAGGCGUAAGUCGUCGGAGGAGGAGCCCGCGCACGAUUAGCUAGUUGGUAGGGUAACGGCCUACCAAGGCUUUGAUCGUUAGCUGGUCUGAGAGGAUGGCCAGCCACACUGGAACUGAGACACGGUCCAGACUCCUACGGGAGGCAGCAGUGGGGAAUCUUGCACAAUGGGCGAAAGCCUGAUGCAGCGACGCCGCGUGGGGGAUGAAGCUUCUCGGAGUGUAAACCCCUUUCGACCCGGACGAAUGCCCCGCAAGGGGACUGACGGUACGGGUAUAAGAAGCCCCGGCUAACUACGUGCCAGCAGCCGCGGUAAGACGUAGGGGGCCAGCGUUGCUCGGAAUUACUGGGUGUAAAGGGUUCGUAGGCGGUGUGGCAAGUCGGGAGUGAAAUCUCUGGGCUCAACCCAGAGACUGCUUCCGAAACUGCUG